rnacentral:lncRNA from 1 species
AGUUGCUGAAACUGGCUUUGAACGUGUGAUCCUCCUGCCUCGGCCUCCUGAGCUGCUGAGAUUACAGGUAGUACCACCAUGCCUGGCUUCAUGAUCUCAUUUUAUCAUCUCUUUAUACAAUGUGUUGGCCAUAAAAUUAAUUUAUAUUAUUUAUUUGGGAACCUGAAAAACUUUCUCUCUUCCAGGCAGUACUGAGUCUCACCCUAUGUACUUUAUGGAAAAUGUCCUGGAUGCUUUAGAAUCCUGCUUUGGAACUUCAAACAGAGAAAUGAAGUCACAUAAAUGAGUAAAAUUUUUUAUUUUAUGUUACAACUUCUAUAAUUGCCCAGGUAUCUGAAGUCUUGCUAAUUCUCCCUCUGAAAUAUCUUUUACAUCUUUCUCGCUUUCCUAUUCCUAUAGUCAGUGGUGUGUGAUGGAACUUGAAAGAGCCAAUACUUAAUUUUCAGAAAGUGGUCAAGUCGGUUAUUAUAUGGUUGACAUCUUGAAAUAUUGGUAAUAUUGGUAAUAUUCAUACCACAAAAAUCAGCAAAUGAUACACAUCAACUGCUUCUCAUCUUUAGCCUGAACUGAGCAGAUGGUAGACAUUUACCAGCAUCUCACCACAUAUAGGUCUUUCCCUAAUUUAAGUCUUUAUUACCUUUUUUUUUUUAAGUUGUAGAUGGACACAAUACCUUUAUUUUAUUUAUAAAAACCCAUAUGGGUUCAACCCCAUAUAUAAAUAAAAUAAAGUAUCGAACCCAGUGCCUCACCCAUGCUAGGCAAGCAUUCUACCACUGAGCUACAACCCAAGCCCCUUUAUACUUUUUGCAUGGACUGUUAAAAAAUCUUACUAACCAGUAUUUCUGCACUUGGAUCCUUCUCAUUCUAGCAAAUUUUUAGAGUAUUUUUUACUAUAUGUAACAGAAAACCUCAUUACAGAUUUCUUAAAUAUGAGAAAAAAUUAUAAUUUCACAUACCAAAUAGUUCAAAGAUAGGGCACUUUCAAGAAACCCUACACCUCACAGGCUCACUAAGUGCUCAAAUUCUUUCUAUUUUUCAACAUUGCCCCACUCAUCCUGUUAGUAUUUCCCUUAAUGGCUUCAAGACAACUGUCAUGAUUCAAAUAUCACAUCCUUUCGUAAUGACAUUUAUAUGUUUUCACUACAUACAAUCUUCUAAAAAGCCAGUAAGCAGGUUUCCCCUUGAGUCUCUUUUGACAGAAUCAAAACCCACACUUGGUUUUUGUUUUUUUGUUUGGUACCAGGGAUUGAACCCAGGGGCACUUAACCUCUGAGCCACAUCCCAGCCCUUUUUUAUAUUUAGAGACAGGGUCUUGCUGAGUUGCUUAGGGUCUCACUAAGUUUCUGAAGCUCACUUUGAACUCUUGAUCCUCCUAUCUCAGCCUCCUGAGCCUCUGGCAUUACAAGGCAUGUGCCACUACACCCAGUCCACACUGGUUCUUAAGACAAUCACUAACUAAGGUAAUAGAAUUACCAAGAUUGGUUCAGAUCACUGGUUCCCAACCCUUUAAAAUGAACAUAUUAUUAUAUAUUAAAUAUUUCAUAAUACUCCUCUUUUUUGAAAUGAAAAUCAAAGAUGAUAAAACCUACCCACACACAUAAAAAUAUAAAUCACUGGCUGGGGAUGUGGCUCAAGCGGUAGCGCGCUCGCCUGGCAUGCGUGUGGCCCGGGUUCGAUCCUCAGCACCACAUACAAACAAAGAUGUUGUGUCCACCGAGAACUAAAAAAAUAAAUAAAUAUUAAAAAAAAAGUAUUAAAAAAAAAAUAUAUAUAUAUAUAUAAAAAUCACUAUAAACCCUAACUGGGAUAUAAACCUGAAAUAAAGAUAAUUAUUAAAAAUUAAGGGGCUGAGGACAUAGCCCAGUUGGAAGAGUGCUUGCCUUGCAUACACGAGGCCCUGGGUUCAAUCCCCAGCACCACCACCAAAAAAAAAAAAUUAUAUGUAUGUGCAUUUCGAUAUAUAUGACAAAUUGUAUUAUGGGUCCCCAUUAUUUCUUGCUCUCCCUAUAUCAGAAUUAUACACCUCAGCCUGAUGGCUUGUGACUUACAUUAUCUCAAUUUAGAUAAGGCUUGCUUUACAACUUGCUUUGACCAAUGUUAUAUGAAAGAAAGUGGCACGUCUGAGAAAAGCUUGAAAAGCCAUCAAAUGACUCCAGUAUUCCUCUUUUCCUUUGCCAUAAUAACAGUUUUACUUAGCUUUCCAUAUGAAAAAUUGUGGAACAGAUGCAAAAUAGCAACUAAUGUGUAAUAUGAACAACAUAUACAUCUUUGUAGUUAUAAGCCAUUGAGAUUUGGCAAGGGGCUGUUUGUUACCAUAAUAUAACCUAUCAAAAUCUGACUAACACAAUAUGAAAUAAGAUAUUCUAGCAUAUAAAAAAGAAGUCUGCAUUUGAUGAAUGUUUUCACCUAUGUUUUGUGACCCAGCAGCUUUAGAUAAACACUGAUACCAAUGAAAGAAUUUAGAAACCAAGAUAUUUCUAUUAGUCCCACGAUUUUCUGCAGUGGUGAUCAACUCUUAGUGAAGCUGUAAGUUAAAAAAAAAAAAAAAAAAGCAAAAAAGCAUCCUACCAGGAACUGUGGCACACACCUAUAAUCCCAGCUGCUAAGCCAGCCUCAGCAACAGCAGGUGCUAAGCAACUCAGUGAGACCCUGUCUCUAAAUAAAAUACCAAAUAAAGGGGGUGGGGUGGGGAUGUGGCUCAGUGGUUGAGUGCCCCUGAGUUCAAUCCCCAGUACUCCACCCAAAAUAAGCAUCUUUCAAUUUAUAUAGUAGUUUACAUCCUGGAAAAUGAAGUCUAUAAUAAAAUUGGGCAAAAUUGGUUGCUGCCAGACUUAUAUAAUUAUGAAGAAAUCCUUCAUCUACAUGAAUGUUAAGUCAUGGGUCUAUUUAUACAAAGUUAAAAAACGGGCUGGGCACAAGGGCACACACUGUAAUCCCAGCAACUCUGGAAGCUAAGGCAGGAGGAUCACAAGUUCAAAGCCAGCCUCAACAACUUAAAUGAGACCCUCAGCAAAUUGGCAAGACCCUGUCUCAAAAGAUAAAAAGGGCUAGGGAUGUAGUUCAGUGGUAAAGUCUCCCUGGGUUCAAUCCCCAGUAACAAAAAAUUCUCAAACAUAUACAUGCUGUUAGAACAUACAUGAAUGUGUGACUGGAAGAAGGCACUAAGUGUGUUCAGUUUGUGAAGAUUAAUCAACUGUACACCAAUAUAUAUUUUUCUAUAUGUAUAUUACACUAUACUCACAAUCAUGCAGGGCGUGGGACAAAUCUUUGAUGUGUGGGUUUGUCUUAUGUAUUACAGUAUAUGAAGCAUUUCUGGUCAUUGUCCAUGAACUGUCAGUAGGUAGUCUCCCUAAAUAAUUGACAACACCAAACACAAUUUUAUCACAAAUUUCUCUAACAGUGAACCCCUGGGUUCCUUAAGUUAUCCUAAUCAAGCCUCACUCCCUGGGCUUGUCUGCUUGAAGCUCAUUGACUACCUGAUAUCUAAAUAAAAUUAGUCUUUCAUUGGUCAGUCUUCUCAGGCAGGGUAGAAGGGAAUGAGCGGUAGGUGUUAUUGUAGUAAGACCCUGUCUCUAAAUAAAAUAUUAAAAAAAAAAAAAAAUAAGGGCUGGGGAUGUGGCUCAGUGGUUGAGUGCCCCUGAGUGCCUCUGGUAGUGGUAAUGAUGAUGGUGGUAGUCAUAGCAAUGGUGGAGGUGGUGGUGAUAGUAGAGGUGGUGUUAAUGGUGAUGAUGGUGGAGGUGAUGAUAGAGGUGACAGCAGUGGUGGUAGCAAUGAUUGGUUAGUUAACCAUCUGUGUCUGCCACAGAAUCUUCCACACACAUUCUCACCAAUAUCUCAAAUCACUUUGUCCUCAUUUUCCAGAAUCUGCAGUGGCUUCCAAUCAUCUACAGAAUAAAACACACUCACUUAUCUUUCUAGACUAUUUUAAGGCUGAUUUUAUUCUCACUGAACGUUGCCUUUUCCCUUCACUUAACAUGCUCUGGAGUCACAAUGCAAUGCUUCUUCUGUUGAGAAAAUCCUGCUCCCAUUCUUACUUCUUUAAUCAAAUGCUUCCUCUUCCACUAAGAAACUUCUAUCACAGAGUUAAUUUCUCCUUUGUUUACCUGCUAUGGGUUGUUUGGUUUUUUUGUUUGUUUGUUUGUUUUUGUUUUUUGGGUUUUUUUAGUAUUUUUUAGUUGUAGAUGGACACACUACCCUUAUUUUAUUUAUUUAUUUUUUAAUGUGGUUCAGAGGAUUGAACCCAAUGCCUCACAUGUGCUAGGCAAGCGCUCUGCCACUGAGCCACAACCCCAACCCCUGGGUAUUUUACUUAUCUCUCUCCAGCUUUUUCUUCAUAGUAAGUUAGCACAAAUCUUUUACAGCCUCCACAAACUUACUAUAGUGAUAGGCACUCACUGGGUGCUCAAAAAAAUGCUGUUGAGUUAAAUUGAACAAGAACACAGCUACUGAAUUUCACAGAAAUCAAGAACCCAAUAUCCAAAUAUUUUAACUGGUUGAGACCUAUAGUUUUUCCUCUGAUUUGAAUUCUAAAUGUCCCUCAGAGGUCUAUGUGUUGAAGGCCUGUUCCCCAGGUGAUAGUAUAGAGAUGUGGUAGAAACUUUUAAUGAGAUGGGUCCUAGUAGAAUGCCAAAGUGCAUUGUGGGACCCCUGGCUCUUCCUCUUUUGCUUCUUGGCCAUGAGGUGAAGAUGAGCGAUUUUGCUCUACCAUGUACUCCCACCAUCAUGUGCAUAGCAUAGAGGCCCGUAUCAACAGGGCCAAUCAAUCAUGUGCAGGAAUUUCUAAAACUGUGUGCUCAAAUAAAUCUUUUCUCUUUUUAAUUAUUUCAGUCAUUUUAGUGACAGCUAACACUGUGUAGUGUUUCCACCAAUAGCUUCAAAUGUGAAUUAAUGGUACUUCCUUCCUCUCAUUGUAAGAUUGCUUUUUGGACAGGACUCAAGGAGGGAAAUUAUUGUCUUCCCUGAACCACAGUAAAAUGCACAAGUUCACCAUGCUGGGACUCUGUCAAGGUACAACAGAAUCAACUAGAGAACAAGGAGGAAGUCCUGGUAGCAGCUCAGUUUUAGCAUGAUAUUUCAGUUGCAUUCAGUAUUGCCUAUUAUAUCCUAUGGGAAUUACCAAAUCAGUUAACAAUAAUCCUCCACUCUGGUUAACCUGGAAGGUAUGUGUCCAAGUGACAGAAAGGAGUGCAGACUUGAGUUGGGAGAAUGUGUUCAGCAUUCUAUCAAGUCACUCCUUUAUGUAAAAUACUAAGUGACUCCCUUGGCCUAGUGUCCCCACAAUGGUCUGCUAUGGCUUGCCUGUUUCACUCACUAGAUUUCAAAUUCCUUGUGGACUGCAGAGCACCUUAUUCAAAUUAACUACCCUCAGGCAUGUCCAGUCCCCUGGGAUCAGGCAAAAAUGUGAGGAAAAUCUCUUAAGCAAUGUAUCUCCCUGUCCUCCCUCCUUGGAAAAAAACACUCCACCCCCGAAAUCACAAG